AUUGAACGCUGGCGGCAUGCCUUACACAUGCAAGUCGAACGGCAGCGGGGGAGAAGCUUGCUUUUCCUGCCGGCGAGUGGCGAACGGGUGAGUAAUACAUCGGAACGUGCCCUGUAGUGGGGGAUAACUAGUCGAAAGAUUAGCUAAUACCGCAUACGACCUGAGGGUGAAAGUGGGGGACCGCAAGGCCUCAUGCUAUAGGAGCGGCCGAUGUCGGAUUAGCUAGUUGGUGGGGUAAAGGCCUACCAAGGCGACGAUCAGUAGCUGGUGUGGGAGGAAGAUCAGCCACACUGGGACUGAGACACGGCCCAGACUCCUACGGGAGGCAGCAGUGGGGAAUUUUGGACAAUGGGCGAAAGCCUGAUCCAGCAAUGCCGCGUGUGUGAAGAAGGCCUUCGGGUUGUAAAGCACUUUUGUCCGGAAAGAAAUGGCUCUGGUUAAUACCUGGGGUCGAUGACGGUACCGGAAGUAUAAGGACCGGCUAACUACGUGCCAGCCGCCGCGGUAA
rnacentral:rRNA from 1 species